AAUCAAGUUACAAAGGGCACAGAGUGGAUGCCUUGGUGCUAGAAGGCGAUGAAGGACGUGAUAAGCUGCGAUAAGCGUCGGUAAGGGGCACACACCCGCUGACCCGACGAUUUCCGAAUGGGGUAACCUGAUGGGAUUGAAUCCCAUCGCCCCUUCCUGAAUACAUAGGGAAGGGAUCGCGAACCCGGUGAAGUGAAACAUCUCAGUAACCGGAGGAAAAGAAAUCAACCGAGAUUCCGUAAGUAGCGGCGAGCGAACGCGGACCAGCCCAACCAUUAACGGACCGGCGACGAUAGGAGAAGCAUUUGGAAAGAUGCUCCAUAGAGGGUGACAGACCCGUAUCCGAAAUCCGAACCGGCCAGGUGCAAGUAGCGCAACACACGUGAAACGUUGCGUGAAGACGGGGGGACCACCCUCCAAGGCUAAAUACUAACUAGCGACCGAUAGUGAACCAGUACCGUGAGGGAAAGGUGAAAAGAACCCCUGUGAGGGGAGUGAAAUAGAACCUGAAACCCUGUGCCCACAAGGUGUAAGAGCAGCUUUAUGCUGUGAUUGCGUGCCUUUUGCUUAAUGAGUCUGCGAGUUAGUGCGUGUGGCAAGCCUAAGUUCUUCUGGAACGGAGGCGUAGCGAAAGCAAGUCUGAAUAGGGCGACAAGUUGCACGCGCUAGACCCGAAGCGGAGGUGACCUACCCAUGGCCAGGUUGAAGCGUCGGUAAAACGACGUGGAGGACCGAACCGAUGUGUGUUGAAAAACGCUCGGAUGAGCUGUGGGUAGGAGUGAAAGGCUAUUCAAACCCCGUGAUAGCUGGUUCUCUCCGAAAUGUAUUUAGGUACAGCGUUGUAUGCUGACUAAGGGGGGUAGAGCACUGAAAGGGCUAGGGCCCAUACCCGGGUACCAACCCCUAUCAAACUCCGAAUACCCUUAGGUGAAGUACAGCAGUGAGUCAGUGGGGGAUAAGCUUCAUUGGCGAAAGGGAAACAGCCCAGACCAGCAGCUAAGGUGCCUAAAUUCUACUCAGUGGAAAGGAGGUGAGGUUUCACAGACAGUGAGGAUGUUGGCUUAGAAGCAGCCACCAUUUAAAAAGUGCGUAAUAGCUUACUCAUCGAGAGACCUUGCGCCGAAAAUGAUUGGCGAUAAGUAGAAUACCGAAGCUCUGGAUGCAUCAUUUAU
rnacentral:rRNA from 1 species